rnacentral:rRNA from 1 species
UACGAAGGGGGCUAGCGUUGCUCGGAAUCACUGGGCGUAAAGGGUGCGUAGGCGGGUCUUUAAGUCAGGGGUGAAAUCCUGGAGCUCAACUCCAGAACUGCCUUUGAUACUGAAGAUCUUGAGUUCGGGAGAGGUGAGUGGAACUGCGAGUGUAGAGGUGAAAUUCGUAGAUAUCGGGAGGAACACCAGUGGCGAAGGCGGCGACCUGGGCCAAUAUUGACGCUGAGGUGCGAAAGCGUGGGGAGCAAACAGG